rfam:Marchantia polymorpha subsp. polymorpha scaffold3524, whole genome shotgun sequence.
AGUGCAGAUGAUGAGAAAAUUGAUAAACACAUCAAACUCCUCGGAGUAUGUUGACAAUAUCAAUGGGAAUCUCUCUGAUGCGUC